rnacentral:rRNA from 1 species
CCUACGGGCGGCAGUGGGGAAUAUUGGACAAUGGGGGGAACCCUGAUCCAGCCAUGCCGCGUGUGUGAAGAAGGCCCUCGGGUUGUAAAGCACUUUCAGUGAGGAAGAACGCCUGGUGGUUAAUACCCAUCAGGAAAGACAUCACUCACAGAAGAAGCACCGGCUAACUCCGUGCCAGCAGCCGCGGUAAUACGGAGGGUGCGAGCGUUAAUCGGAAUUACUGGGCGUAAAGCGCGCGUAGGUGGCUUGAUAAGCCGGUUGUGAAAGCCCCGGGCUCAACCUGGGAACGGCAUCCGGAACUGUCAAGCUAGAGUGCAGGAGAGGAAGGUAGAAUUCCCGGUGUAGCGGUGAAAUGCGUAGAGAUCGGGAGGAAUACCAGUGGCGAAGGCGGCCUUCUGGACUGACACUGACACUGAGGUGCGAAAGCGUGGGUAGCAAACAGGGUUAGAUACCCCGGUAGUC